UGGUGUAGAGACAUUGAGAUAAAGGUACAUAUGGUUGUUAGAGAAUAACUUGGACUGAGUAUGACCAACAUGAGAACCACAUGGAUGUCUACUCACUCUCAGUGGUUUUCUCGAUGCUGUAGUGGUGUGAGUGGUCCUUUGACCUGCGAUGUCAUUGGCUAUUCAUAGAGAGGCUAUUGGGUUUGACUGCAUAUUUUCUUGAUCCCUAGCCAUUCGAGUCUUUGCUGUGUAUG
rnacentral:lncRNA from 1 species